GCCAAACAGAAAAAAAUGACAAUGGGUUAACAAUCCCGCACGUGACCUCAAAAGCCCAUUUAUCCCGUCAAACCAAGGGUUAACUGUUCCUCGUAAGAAGGCGGAACAACGCUUGUUCCGCCUUCUCACGCGAGGGUAGGCAACGGAAUUUAGGAAAAAAGCAGCGGAGUUUGGCAGCGGAGUUAGGAGAAUCAGGCAACGGAAUUUGGAGGGAAAGAAGUAGAGGAAAAUUUCUUUGUGGGAUUUUCUCAGAUCACACUCAACCGGUUGUUGAUCUCAAGUGACGGAAGGCCGAGGAUUUGAGAGACGAUGAAGAAGAAGAGAAAGAGGAAUCAGAAGCUGUUGAACUAAUACUUUUCCAAGUUAACGAGUGCUACGUGUAUUUGAUACCUCCAAGGAAGAGCGCCGCUUCUUACAGGUGUGUUUCUUGGUACUAAUUGUCAUUUGAUUUUGUCUUCGACAAUGAUUUGUUGUGGCUCAAAAUUUCCCAAUUUAGGAGAGGAAUUAGGUCUUUCAUGAUGAUUGUUUGUCCUUAGAACUGUUAGCUAAUGUGUAUGACAAGGAAUUGUUGGUUAAAUUUU